ACAUGACAGCCUGAAGUGCGUUCAUUUCGUCCAGUCCUCAUAAUCUGUUGGGGUUGGAGGUGUUCAAUGGAACGUGCGUAUGAACUGAUUUUUCGAAUCCGGAAAAAUCAACUUAGGCAUGUAUAACACAGAGUAAAUAGGAACAUAAGGAAAAGGGAGUGCAUCUCUUCAUCCAGAAAUGGUGGUUAUCGAAGUGGUUGAGAUAAAUGGGAUCUACCAGUUAUAUGAGAUGAGGAACCAGUGUCAACAAUCCAAGAAUUAGAAGACGAAGAGGGAGCACUUGCAGCUUGAAGUUGAAGGGUCAGGUUUCCUAGACAAGCACAAAACAUGUAGAGAAAUGCAGUUUGAUCCAUGAUGCUGAAAGGGCCAAUAGCUCCAAGGUUCCAAUUGUGUGACCAUCUUCAGUCAACACUGCCACUCUGGUGGAUAUAAAGAAUCAGAUGUCAAGGGCAGCUAAGGAGGAACAAUAUCUCCUGUGGCAAGCCAAGUACGAAACAUGCUCUUAACAAAAAUGGCUUGAGGGUGUUGCAUGGCCAACUAGCCUUCCAAGUACACUUGAAUCUAACACCGUUGCAUGAUAUUACUACAAAAUCAGGACCAAAGGCCCAAAUUGUGUACUAGCAUCUGAUUCAUUUAAUCAGUCUCUGCUAUGUCCCUCGUACUGUUGGCUAGUGCUGCUUUUUGGCACAUACAUACAGCUCAAGUCCUAAGGGUUGCCUGUAGGCUUGGAUAGCAUUGUGAUAUGUUUUGAACAGGCAUUUAUCAUCGUAACUCUUUUUAUUCAUCAACUCUUGCCACUCUGUACUUAUACCUGUAGGCCCAGAAGAGGUAGUGUAAGAAAUUCAGUCCACUCAGCGUGCACAUGAGCCAGUAGAAUCGUUCCAGGUGAUAGUGAUUCAGGUUGCUACCAGAGAGCCAUGGUUCGUGUGCAGAGUGAUCUGUUACACUGUUUACUAUUGAUACAAUCACUGAGCUGAGGUAGUACCCCAUGGCCAAAGACGCCCAGGAGAGUGCUGUAGCCAAAGAUCUCAUGCUGCUAGGAGCUUCUGUGAAAAAGAAUUCCAACAACCCGGCCAGAGUGAAAAGAUCUGCUGAUCCAAGAAACAAGUACUGGAAUGCAAUCCAAAAGAAUGUGAUGGGCAGUGGAUUAGCUGAAUCUAGUGGCCCUGAGUUGGAAGCCACUCUCUUUCGCUUAACCUCGACAAGAGCUGCAGUUGCCAUGGCCACAAUGGAGAGCAUUAAACCAAUUCCAAUUCGUUGCAGGUGAGAAACGCCCAUUUCAGUGUUGGUUACUUUCCGAGCAAAUGGGAUGAUCAAAUGGUCAUAGACUGGUGCAAGGAUCAUGAUAAAGAGAAUAGGAAAAACUGGAAGGGAAGCUGGUGGGACUUUCAUGGAACCAAGCUUGGUGUUCAUAGUAGCAGCUUGUUGGACAGAAAAUGUGUUGAGCUGAGCUAGGCAGCAGUUGAGCAUGAUGGUGCAAGCAAAUAUAGGAAGAAUUUUUAAGAUGAUCUUAACUUCUUCUACUUGCUGCACUGUGCAUUCUAGUGCUGUGUGCACUGGCUUGUUUGUGACUGCUCUGUUAAGGAAUUUGAGGCUGUUUGUUGGGGUUUCAGAGGGCAACACUGGGGUUUCAUUGGGCAACACUUUGGAAUUUUCUCCUUCUUCCUUCCUGAUUUGGGCUGGGAAAAUUGGGCUUGUGGACAUGCUCACAACAGCAUUGCUUGGACUUCUGCUUGUGCUACUGUUCAGUAUAGCACCAAUUAAAACCUGUUUGAUGGAAAAGUGUUAACAAUGGUGGACUUAUUAUUGGGGAACAGGGUUAUUAAGGACAAAUCAACAACUCUAAACGGGUGAAAAAUGUUUGUAUCAUUCUGGAAACUAGUGACAAGGUGUACCAGACUUGCUCUCUUUAGGUUUUCUAUAUAUGCAUAUAUAUAUAUAUAUAUAUUAAUUAUUACAACAA